rnacentral:snRNA from 1 species
UGUUGCUGAGUUUGGUCUGGCUGAGAGUCUGUCACCUCACUGGUCUCCUGGGGGGAGUCAGCUGACUGGACUGGCCAAGCAAGUGUCCACUUCCUCCCCCACUGCUCUGUUUACAUUACUUGUUCCUCCUGAACCUGGGGCCAUGUGCUCAGUUAAAGAGGACAGCCAUUCCUAUAUAGAGACAGACCAGUCUUUCUUUGAGAGUUUCUGGAGAGCUAUGCUCUCCCCUGCUGGAAGUUCCAAACAAGCUCUCUUUGUUAUGUGGCUGGUGGGAGGUGCUCCAUGAACUAGCAGCUGGGUCCACGUUCAAAAAGGCCUCUCAGGUGCUCUCUGUCUAUUGCU